GAUGAACGCUGGCGGCGUGCCUAACACAUGCAAGUCGAGCGAACAGACGAGGAGCUUGCUCCUUUGACGUUAGCGGCGGACGGGUGAGUAACACGUGGGUAACCUACCUAUAAGACUGGGAUAACUUCGGGAAACCGGAGCUAAUACCGGAUAAUAUUUCGAACCGCAUGGUUCGAUAGUGAAAGAUGGCUUUGCUAUCACUUAUAGAUGGACCUGCGCCGUAUUAGCUAGUUGGUAAGGUAACGGCUUACCAAGGCAACGAUACGUAGCCGACCUGAGAGGGUGAUCGGCCACACUGGAACUGAGACGCGGUCCAGACUCCUACGGGAGGCAGCAGUAGGGAAUCUUCCGCAAUGGGCGAAAGCCUGACGGAGCAACGCCGCGUGAGUGAUGAAGGUCUUCGGAUCGUAAAACUCUGUUAUUAGGGAAGAACAAACGUGUAAGUAACUGUGCACGUCUUGACGGUACCUAAUCAGAAAGCCACGGCUAACUACGUGCCGGCAGCCGCGGUAAUACGUAGGUGGCAAGCGUUAUCCGGAAUUAUUGGGCGUAAAGCGCGCGUAGGCGGUUUUUUAAGUCUGAUGUGAAAGCCCACGGCUCAACCGUGGAGGGUCAUUGGAAACUGGAAAACUUGAGUGCAGAAGAGGAAAGUGGAAUUCCAUGUGUAGCGGUGAAAUGCGCAGAGAUAUGGAGGAACACCAGUGGCGAAGGCGACUUUCAGGUCUGUAACUGACGCUGAUGUGCGAAAGCGUGGGGAUCAAACAGGAUUAGAUACCCUGGUAGUCCACGCCGUAAACGAUGAGUGCUAAGUGUUAGGGGGUUUCCGCCCCUUAGUGCUGCAGCUAACGCAUUAAGCACUCCGCCUGGGGAGUACGACCGCAAGGUUGAAACUCAAAGGAAUUGACGGGGACCCGCACAAGCGGUGGAGCAUGUGGUUUAAUUCGGAGCAACGCGAAGAACCUUACCAAAUCUUGACAUCCUUUGACCCUUCUAGAGAUAGAAGUUUCCCCUUCGGGGGACAAAGUGACAGGUGGUGCAUGGUUGUCGUCAGCUCGUGUCGUGAGAUGUUGGGUUAAGUCCCGCAACGAGCGCAACCCUUAAGCUUAGUUGCCAUCAUUAAGUUGGGCACUCUAAGUUGACUGCCGGUGACAAACCGGAGGAAGGUGGGGAUGACGUCAAAUCAUCAUGCCCCUUAUGAUUUGGGCUACACACGUGCUACAAUGGACAAUACAAAGGGCAGCGAAACCGCGAGGUCAAGCAAAUCCCAUAAAGUUGUUCUCAGUUCGGAUUGUAGUCUGCAACUCGACUACAUGAAGCUGGAAUCGCUAGUAAUCGUAGAUCAGCAUGCUACGGUGAAUACGUUCCCGGGUCU
rnacentral:rRNA from 1 species